rnacentral:misc_RNA from 1 species
GAUGAAGAUCGUAGCGAAAUGCGAUAAGUAAUGUGAAUUGCAGAAUUCAGUGAAUCAUCGAAUCUUUGAACGCACAUUGCGCCCGCCAGUAUUCUGGCGGGCAUGCCUGUUCGAGCGUCAUUUCAACCAUCAAGCCCCCGGCUUGUGUUGGGGACCUGCGGCUGCCGCAGGCCCUGAAAAGCAGUGGCGGGCUCGCUGUCACACCGAGCGUAGUAGCAUACAUCUCGCUCUGGGCGUGCUGCGGGUUCCGGCCGUUAAACCACCUUCAUAACCCAAGGUUGACCUCGGAUCAGGUAGGAAGACCCGCUGAACUUAAGCAUAUCAAUAAGCGGAGGA